UGUAACAGCCCGGAAACCGAUACCCCUCUGUAACGGCCCGAACCGCCACCGGCGCUAGGAUCCAGAUCGGCUUAAGGCCGCCGGGACCCGUAGCAAGCCAAACAUACAUACUAUUACCUGGUCAAAUCCCAUACAUGAUUAAAAACUUUAACAUGAAACCUGAAAUCUGAACAUACACCAAGCUUGAUUCGUAAGUUGCAACAUAACUGUGAACAUAAACUUUCCCAUGCUAGAGUCAUCAUCAAAUGCUCUAGCUGGGUCAUCAUUACAUACAUCAAGCCUGGUUCUCAACUCAACAUAAAAACAUUUCAUAAUCAUGCGUCAACAGGGAUUAACCAGUCUAUAGGGCCAAGCACACUCUAAUCCAUAAACAUUAACUCUACUAUCAGCUACAUACAUUAUCUCAAAUUACAUUACAUCAUCUUAUAUUACAUGUCCACUUCUAAAACUACUAAACUGCUACAAAACAUAAACUAUUACAUACAUAACUUAACUUAGCCUUGACUUUACCCUGCUGCCUCUGAACUCUGACUCAACCUGCAACACUGGGGUUAGGGGAAAGGGAUGAGCUAAAAAGCCCAGUGAGUAGAAACAGAGAAAACAGUUCAUUAAUUACAUGCUUUCAUGAAAUGCGUCAUAACACAAGUAAAUCACAUAACUUGUCCGUCUCGGGGCUCAUGCAAUAUUUAUUCCCCACGGACCCUGGUUUCUGAGAGUCUGUCUUUUUGCAUGCAUCUUUCCUCUCAGAGGAUGGACAUGACAUCAAAAAUCCCUCUGUCGGUGCCCGGCUCCCCCAUAGGAGCUCACAAAGGCCUGUAACAUACAUGACAUGGUGUCUGAUCCACAGAGAGCUCACAUGGACUUUCCUACAUGUACUUGUCCGGCUCUCAAAGGACUAAGACAAGACUCGUGACAGAUAUGGGCUAUUGAAGUCGCCUCGGUCCACCCUUCCUCUAUCAACAUCAAAUAAUGCAAUGCGUCAUAUUCGUGAAACUAGUGCAAUCAACCUACUACAUAUAAUCAUGAUGCAUGAACAUGCUUUAGGCAUUAGAUUUUGUGCAUAAAAGAUUAAGUUUAGUUCUACUCACAUCCUGGCAGACGCUGACUGACUCUGCAACUGCUAGCAUUACUGGCCUCCUCGGUCCCUCGGGUCCGAUCCUACACAGGUGGACUCGAAUGAGGUGCCAAACACAUUCUAACAACUCAUAAACAACUCCCCAAAAACCCCUCUAAACAUCACUUAAUCAUGCAUGGAAAACACCCAAGAAACGGCUGGACAGGGCACUUUCGGCGGCACCUUCGGCGGCCGAAAGUCCCUUCCAGAGACGAAACUCGGGUAGGUUCGGCGGCAGGUUCGGCGGCCGAAACCCUAGGACAGAAACGAAAGUCCCUCCUUCGGGGGCACAUUCGGCAGCCUAAAGACUGCCUCCCAUGCAGGUUCGGCGGCCGAAACUCCUUUCGGCGGCCGAACCUGGUCCCCUCUGGACGACAGGUCCGAUUCUGCCAAGCCAAAAAACCAAACUCAACAUACCCAAAUCCUUACAUACUCUCUCCCAACAUGCAUACUCACUCCCACAAGCAUAAAGGAGCAUAAACUAACAUAAACUCCUCAACACAAACAUCACAUAACAUACACUGGGUAUAAAACCCACAUAAACCUAAACAUGCCAUUCUACCCAUUCAAAACUCCAAUAAACUUACUUAAAACUCAUUAAAACAUAAAAGGAAGCAUAGAUCUACACUUACCUCUUGAAGAUCGAGGGUUGCGUGAUCUCUAACUCGGAGGUAUGGAGAAUCCAAGCUCCAAAAGCUCCAAGCUCCCAAAACUCCUUUUAAGCUUUAAAUCUUCAAACACAAAGGUAGAAAUCAUGAAAAACUUGAGAGAUGGGUAGAGAAAACACGAAAACGACCAAAGGAAGGCAUAAACUCACCUGAGCUCGAGAAUGGGGAGAAAACUCACCCAUUUCCGAUCUGAGGGCCUUUUAUAGGUGGCCUGGUCGAAGACCUUCGGCAGCCUAACGUGCCCCCUAAACUCAUGCAUGUUCGGCGGCCGAACUUGACUUUCGGCGGCCGAACCUUGGCUCGUUUAAACAAGACUUUCGGAGGCCAAAGGCGCUCCCGAAGCCUUCCCAUGUUCGGCGGCCGAACUCCACUUUCGGCGGCCGAACCUGGCAAUUGCCUCCUUGGUCUUUUCCCUUCAAAACUCAAUUCUCUUUCCUUUUAAAACCAUGAAAUCAUGUGAAAACAUUUUAGAAAACACAUUUUACCCCUUCUAGAGAGAUCCAACACCUUAGAUUCCGCCGGAAGGCAGGAAUCCCGAUGCCGGAUUCUAGCCGGGUAUUACAU
rnacentral:lncRNA from 1 species